rnacentral:rRNA from 1 species
AUAUUGCACAAUGGGCGCAAGCCUGAUGCAGCCAUGCCGCGUGUAUGAAGAAGGCCUUCGGGUUGUAAAGUACUUUCAGCGGGGAGGAAGGGAGUAAAGUUAAUACCUUUGCUCAUUGACGUUACCCGCAGAAGAAGCACCGGCUAACUCCGUGCCAGCAGCCGCGGUAAUACGGAGGGUGCAAGCGUUAAUCGGAAUUACUGGGCGUAAAGCGCACGCAGGCGGUUUGUUAAGUCAGAUGUGAAAUCCCCGGGCUCAACCUGGGAACUGCAUCUGAUACUGGCAAGCUUGAGUCUCGUAGAGGGGGGUAGAAUUCCAGGUGUAGCGGUGAAAUGCGUAGAGAUCUGGAGGAAUACCGGUGGCGAAGGCGGCCCCCUGGACGAAGACUGACGCUCAGGUGCGAAAGCGUGGGGAGCAAACAGG